AACUCCUAAAUAAAGUAAUUUAGGUAGAGUCUGCCCACUGAAAAUAAAUAAAGAGCUGCAGUAUCCUAACUGUACUAAGGUAGCAUAAUAAUUAGUUAUUUGAUUGAUAACUAGAAUGAAUGACCUGAUGAAAAGUGUAUUUUCUUUUAUUCUAUUUAAAUUAAUUUAUAAAUAAAAAAGUUUAUAUAAAUUAGAUAGACGAUAAGACCCUAAAACCUUUAAUUACAACACUUUAUAAAUAUAUUUUACUGGGGCGGUAAAUUAUUUAAACAUAAUUUUUUUUUACAUAAUGUAUGGUUUUAAACAACUUAUAAAAAUUCAAGUAGGUACUUUAGGGAUAACAGUACAAUUUUUAUUAAGAGCAACUUAUCGACAUAAAAUAUUAUCACCUCGAUGUUGAAUUGAUAGCUCUCCUUUAAGCAGAAAUAAAGGGAUGAAAGUCUGUUCGACUUUUAAUUUAUCA
rnacentral:rRNA from 1 species